UACAGAGGCCUCGAGCGUUAGGCGGAAUCACUGGGCUUAAAGCGUGUGUAGGCGGAUGUCUAAGUGCCUUGUGAAAUCCCACGGCUUACCCGUGGAACGGCUGGGCAUACUGGAUGUCUUGAGCCACUCAGGGGCUACCGGAACAAAUGGUGGAGCGGUGAAAUGCGUAGAUAUCAUUUGGAACGCCAAUGGUGAAAACAGGUAGCUGGGAGUGUGCUGACGCUGAGACACGAAAGCCAGGGUAGCGAACGGG
rnacentral:rRNA from 1 species